rnacentral:rRNA from 1 species
GACGAACGCUGGCGGCGUGCCUAAUACAUGCAAGUAGAACGCUGAAGGAGGAGCUUGCUUCUCUGGAUGAGUUGCGAACGGGUGAGUAACGCGUAGGUAACCUGCCUGGUAGCGGGGGAUAACUAUUGGAAACGAUAGCUAAUACCGCAUAAUAGCAGUUAUUGCAUGAUAACUGUUUGAAAGGUGCAAUUGCACCACUACCAGAUGGACCUGCGUUGUAUUAGCUAGUUGGUGGGGUAACGGCUCACCAAGGCGACGAUACAUAGCCGACCUGAGAGGGGGAUCGGCCACACUGGGACUGAGACACGGCCCAGACUCCUACGGGAGGCAGCAGUAGGGAAUCGUCGGCAAUGGACGGAAGUCUGACCGAGCAACGCCGCGUGAGUGAAGAAGGUUGUCGGAUCGUAAAGCUCUGUUGUAAGGGAAGAACGAGUGUGAGAGUGGAAAGUUCACACUGUGACGGUAUCUGACCAGAAAGGGACGGCUAACUACGUG